CUGUCUCGGAGCCUGGAGCGGGGGGGCAGGAGGGGCUCAGGGAGAAGGUGUGUGCAGCCCCUGGCCCUCUCUGCCCUUCCGUCCCCUGUCCCCA
rnacentral:pre_miRNA from 1 species